GGUUACGGAGCAGAGCUCCUUGAAGUCCAAUAGAAGGUCUUGCUGGGUGGAUUGAGCUGCUGAGCUAUGGAUCCCACAGCCCUAUCUCAGAUCAUCAGAGGAAUAGGCUUGUGGCUUGCAUAUCUCAGGAGCUGCAUUACCUGUGUUAGAUCUUUGUUUGGAUUGAAGGGAGCUCUACACCUUUCUCUC
rfam:Prunus persica cultivar Lovell chromosome G5, whole genome shotgun sequence.